rfam:Triticum aestivum genome assembly, contig: Triticum_aestivum_CS42_TGACv1_scaffold_195167_3AL
UAAGUACUCCCUCUGUUCCAUAUUAGUUGUCGCUGAAACAAAUGUAUCUAGACGUAUGUCAGUGCUAGAUACAUCCGUUUGAGCGACAACUAAUAUGGAAUGGAGGGAGUAUGUG